rnacentral:rRNA from 1 species
GAUGAACGCUGGCGGCGUGCCUAAUACAUGCAAGUCGAGCGAACGGACGCGAAGUUUGCUUCUCUGAUGUUAGCGGCUGACGGACGAGUAAGACAUACGUAACUUACCUAUAAGACUGGGAGAACUUCGGGACACCAGAGCUAGUUCCGACCACUAAUUUCAACCGCAUAGUUCAAACGUUAAAGACGGUUUUCCCGUCCCAUAUAGAUGAGACCGCGGUGCAUUAGCUAGUUGGUAAGGUAAGGGCUUACCAAGGCAAGGAUGCAUAGCCGACCUGAGAGGGUGAUCGGCCACAUUGGAACUGAGACACGGCCCAAACUCCUACGGGAGGCAGCAGUAGGGAAUCUUCCGCAAUGGGCGAAAGCCUGACGGAGCAACGCCGCGUGAGUGAUGAAGGUCUUCGGAUCGUAAAGCUCUGUUAUUAGGGAAGAACAGAUGUGUAAGUAACUGUGCAGAUCUUGACGGUACCUAAUCAGAAAGCCACGGCUAACUACGUG